rnacentral:rRNA from 1 species
CUAAAUAGUUUAAUUCGAAAAUUUUGAUCAUUAAACUGUAAUUUUAUGAGUUUGAUCCUGGCUCAGGGUGAACGCUAUUAGUAUGCUUUACACAUGCAAGUCUAACGAAAUCUUUUCGUGGCGUCCGGGUGAGUAGUUGUACAGAAUGUUACCUUUUAGUCUUGAACAAUAUAUUUAUAUUAAAUAUUAAAUUCAAGAUAAUUAAGAAAGGUUUUUUAAAUUCCGCUAAAAGAUAGGUCUGUACAAGAUUAGGUUGUUGGUAGAUGUAAUAGCUUACCAAGCCUGUGAUCUUUAGUUGGUCUUAGAGGAUGAUCAACCACAUUGGAACUGAAAUAAGGUCCAAGCUGAUUUUUUCGGCCAGCAGUGAGGAAUCUUGGACAAUGAACGAAAGUUUGAUCCAGCAAUACUAUCUGAAUGAUGACGGCGAAAUUCGUUGUAAAAUUCUUAUUUUAAUGAUGAUAAUGACAUUAUUUAAAGUAAUUUUAGUCCCGGCUAAUACUCGUGCCAGCAGCCGCGGUAAUACGAGAGGGGCAAGCGUUAUCCGGAAUGAUUGGGCGUAAAGAGUCCGUAGACGGUCCAAUAAGUUAUAUGUUAAAUUUUAAAGCUUAACUUUAAACCUAUAUGUAAUACUGUUGGACUUCGAGUUUUAUACAGAAGAUUAUAAUUUUAUUUGUAAGAGUAAAAUCUUAUUAUAAAUAAAGGAAUGUCAGCGGCGAAGGCGUAUCUUUGGUAAAAACUGACGUUGAGGGACGAAAGUUUAGGUAGCAAACAGGAUUAGAGACCCUGGUAGUCUAUACUGUAAAUGAUGAGUGCUGUAAUUUAACGGUAAAAUUUUACUUUAGAUUUUUAAGCUAACGCUAUAAGCACUCCGCCUGAGGAGUACGGUUGCAAGAUUGGAACUCAAAGGAAUUGACGGGGGCUUAAAACUAGUGGUGGGGUAUGUGGUUUAAUGCGAUAAUCCGCGCAUAAUCUUACCAAUUCUUGACAUUUUAAGAAUUAUGAUUUUAUAUUUUUAUGGUAUGAAAUCAUAAUUGUUUCAACAGGUGUUGCACGACUGUCAUCAGCUCGUGUCGUGAGAUGUUUGGUUAAGUCCUUAAACGGGCGUAAUUCUUGUCUUUAAUAAAAAUAGACAAACUUUAAAUUUAUGUUUAAAAAUGCUUUAAAGAUACUGUCAAUGAUAAGUUGAAGGAAGGUAAGAACUAAGCCAAGUCAAUGUGACCCUGAUGAAUUGGGCUACACACAUGCUACAAUGGAAAUUACAAAAAGUUACAAAAAAUUUAAUUUUUAGUCAAUCUACAAAAAUUUCCCCAGUUCGGAUUGUAGGCUGCAACUCGCCUAUAUGAAGUUGGAAUCACUAGUAAUCGCAAAUCAGCAUGUUGCGGUGAAUAUGUAAAUUAGCCUUGUACAAACCGCCCGUCACAUGCAGAGAGUUAGUUUCACUUGAAGAUUUAACUUUUAACAGUUAAGUUUAUUGAGAAAUUGAUGAUUUGGAUGAAGUCGUAACAAGGUAGCUGUACGGGAACGUGUAGCUGGAACAGAAAAUGA